GAUGAACGCUGGCGGCGUGCCUAAUACAUGCAAGUCGAGCGAACGGACGAGAAGCUUGCUUCUCUGAUGUUAGCGGCGGACGGGUAAGUAACACGUGGAUAACCUACCUAUAAGACUGGGAUAACUUCGGGAAACCGGAGCUAAUACCGGAUAAUAUUUUGAACCGCAUGGUUCAAAAGUGAAAGACGGUCUUGCUGUCACUUAUAGAUGGAUCCGCGCUGCAUUAGCUAGUUGGUAAGGUAACGGCUUACCAAGGCAACGAUGCAUAGCCGACCUGAGAGGGUGAUCGGCCACACUGGAACUGAGACACGGUCCAGACUCCUACGGGAGGCAGCAGUAGGGAAUCUUCCGCAAUGGGCGAAAGCCUGACGGAGCAACGCCGCGUGAGUGAUGAAGGUCUUCGGAUCGUAAAACUCUGUUAUUAGGGAUGAACAUAUGUGUAAGUAACUGUGCACAUCUUGACGGUACCUAAUCAGAAAGCCACGGCUAACUACGUG
rnacentral:rRNA from 1 species